GACGAACGCUGGCGGCGUGCCUAAUACAUGCAAGUAGAACGCUGAAGGAGGAGCUUGCUUCUCUGGAUGAGUUGCGAACGGGUGAGUAACGCGUAGGUAACCUGCCUGGUAGCGGGGGAUAACUAUUGGAAACGAUAGCUAAUACCGCAUAACAGUAGAUAUCGCAUGAUAUCUACUUGAAAGGUGCAAUUGCAUCACUACCAGAUGGACCUGCGUUGUAUUAGCUAGUUGGCGAGGUAACGGCUCACCAAGGCGACGAUACAUAGCCGACCUGAGAGGGUGAUCGGCCACACUGGGACUGAGACACGGCCCAGACUCCUACGGGAGGCAGCAGUAGGGAAUCUUCGGCAAUGGACGGAAGUCUGACCGAGCAACGCCGCGUGAGUGAAGAAGGUUUUCGGAUCGUAAAGCUCUGUUGUAAGAGAAGAACGAGUGUGAGAGUGGAAAGUUCACACUGUGACGGUAUCUUACCAGAAAGGGACGGCUAACUACGUG
rnacentral:rRNA from 1 species